AUUUAAAUAAGAAUUUACGAAUUUUGGAAAUAAAUAAUAUAAUUAACGUAUAUUUAUUUAUUACAUUUUAAUAUUUUCAACGAUUUACGAAAUUGAAAAUGAUUUUAGAAUUUUAAGUUAAAACGAAUUCGAAUUACGAAAUUCCGUUCGAUUGAAAUUAGGAAGCAAUCCUAACCAUUUUGGAUUCAACAAACUAAAUCUUAAUCCUAGCCCAAGUAGUAAAGCCCAAGUUAAAUAAACUACCAAGUAAACCCAUAACCCUCUCCUUGUUUUUACUUCACGUAAAACUCAAAUCCCAAACCCUCCUUAUUCCUCCUCCUUCACGUGAAACCAACCUCCUCCCUCUCCUCCUUGCAGCCCCCUCUCCGCCUGCGUCAACCACCAUCAACAGCCGCCGCCGCGACCACCCUUCCACCUGCACGCCGCCGUCGCCACCACCGCGCGCACCACCGCCCCAUUGCCGCGCGCACCACCGCCCCAUUGCCGCCGCGCCGCCGCGCCGCUGAACCACCUCCGGCCAGCCUUCUUUCCUUCUCUCUUUUGGCGGAGAAUUCUUUGUGGGCGACUUUUGAAAGUGUUAAAGUGGCCUAUCAGUUUGUUUACACAAGUCUCUAAGGACCAAUAAGCGUUGCCCAUCUACAGGUUUGAAGAUGAUGCAUCAUUGGGAUCGGGAUUAGAGAGCUUGUAGUUCUAUUCGUUUAAUUAAGUGAUUUAAUUUGUUAACUUGGAUUUGAAAUUUGUCGUACUAUUCGUAUUUCCUUAAUUCAGUUAAUUGGUUUGGACCUAAUAUGUAAUAGAUUAUUUAUGAACCUAAAAGUUAGUUUUAUGUUUUCCGCUGCAAAAUUCUGAAUAAGCCGUAACGUUUUCACACGGGCGAUAAUG